rnacentral:lncRNA from 1 species
GAAAUAAAGAAUACUAGAUAUGUCCCUUAAAUUAAAAUAAAUAUAAUCUUUUUGGGAGAAUUAGAUGUUAAAUAUAAUAUAGUGAUCCACAAAGGGUUCUUAAAACUGAACUAUGAUAACAAAGAUGUUAUCUCCUCUCCUAAGGUAAAUGAAAUUUGCAUUGUAUAUGCUGAACCUUCAGUAGGUCACAGCUCUAAAUUAUACCUCUAAUAAGUCCUUAACGUGGCACAAAAGGCUUGGACACAUUUCUGAGAAGGGAC